GAAAUGCGAUAAGUAAUGUGAAUUGCAGAAUUCAGUGAAUCAUCGAAUCUUUGAACGCACAUUGCGCCCCCUGGUAUUCCGGGGGCAUGCCUGUUCGAGCGUCAUUUCACCACUCAAGCCUCGCUUGGUAUUGGGCAACGCGGUCCGCCGCGUGCCUCAAAUCGACCGGCUGGGUCUUCUGUCCCCUAAGCGUUGUGGAAACUAUUCGCUAAAGGGUGCUCAGGAGGCUACGCCGUAAAACAAACCCAUUUCUAAGGUUGACCUCGGAUCAGGUAGGGAUAUCCGCUGAACUUAAGC
rnacentral:misc_RNA from 1 species